UGGGGAAUAUUGCACAAUGGGCGCAAGCCUGAUGCAGCAACGCCGCGUGAGGGACGACGGCCUUCGGGUUGUAAACCUCUUUUAGUAGGGAAGAAGCGAAAGUGACGGUACCUGCAGAAAAAGCACCGGCUAACUACGUGCCAGCAGCCGCGGUAAUACGUAGGGUGCGAGCGUUGUCCGGAAUUAUUGGGCGUAAAGAGCUCGUAGGCGGUCUGUCGCGUCUGCUGUGAAAACCCGAGGCUCAACCUCGGGCCUGCAGUGGGUACGGGCAGACUAGAGUGCGGUAGGGGAGAAUGGAAUUCCUGGUGUAGCGGUGGAAUGCGCAGAUAUCAGGAGGAACACCGAUGGCGAAGGCAGUUCUCUGGGCCGUAACUGACGCUGAGGAGCGAAAGCGUGGGGAGCGAACAGGAUUAGAUACCCUGGUAGUCCACGCCGUAAACGUUGGGCGCUAGAUGUGGGGACCAUUCCACGGUUUCCGUGUCGCAGCUAACGCAUUAAGCGCCCCGCCUGGGGAGUACGGCCGCAAGGCUAAAACUCAAAGGAAUUGACGGGGUCAUAGCGUUUCCU
rnacentral:rRNA from 1 species